rnacentral:rRNA from 1 species
GAUAAACACUGGCGGCGUGCUUUAUGCAUGCAAGUCGUACGGUAGUUUGCUUUUCGGAGUAAAUGAGAGUGGCGAACGGGUGAGUAACACGCAAGUAACCUGCCCCUAAGUAGGGGAUAACUCCGAGAAGUUGGAGCUAAUACCUUAUGUGGUGAUGGAGGUAAAGCACCAUCACUAAAACCUUCGGGCGCUUGGGGAGGGGCUUACGGCCUAUCAGGUUGUUGGUGGGGUAACGGCUCACCAAGCUUUUGACGGGUAGCUGGUCUGAGAGGAUGGUCAGCCACACUGGGACUGAGACACGGCCCAGACUCCUACGGGAGGCAGCAGCAAGGAAUAUUGUGCAAUGGGCGAAAGCCUGACACAGCGACGCCGCGUGGGGGAUGAAGGCUUUCGGGUUGUAAACCCCUUUUAUCAGGGAAGAGCAAUGACGGUAC